CUCCGGUUGAUCCUGCCGGACCCGACUGCUAUCAGAGUGGGACUAAGCCAUGCGAGUCAACAUAGCAAUAUGUGGCAUACGGCUCAGUAACACGUAGUCAACAUGCCCAGGGGACGUGGAUAACCUCGGGAAACUGAGGAUAAACCGCGAUAGGUCACUACUUCUGGAAUGGGUAAUGACUCAAAUCUACAUGGCCCCUGGAUUGGACUGCGGCCGAUCAGGCUGUUGGUGAGGUAAUGGCCCACCAAACCUGUAACCGGUACGGGCUCUGAGAGGAGGAGCCCGGAGAUGGGCACUGAGACAAGGGCCCAGGCCCUAUGGGGCGCAGCAGGCGCGAAACCUCUGCAAUAGGCGAAAGCCUGACGGGGUUACUCUGAGUGAUUUCCGUUAAGGAGAUCUUUUGGCACCUCUAAAAAUGGUGCAGAAUAAGGGGUGGGCAAGUCUGGUGUCAGCCGCCGCGGUAAUACCAGCACCCCGAGUGGUCGGGACGUUUAUUGGGCCUAAAGCAUCCGUAGCCGGUUCUACAAGUCUUCCGUUAAAUCCACCUGCUUAACAGAUGGGCUGCGGAAGAUACUAUAGAGCUAGGAGGCGGGAGAGGCAAGCGGUACUCAGUGGGUAGGGGUAAAAUCCUUUGAUCCAUUGAAGACCACCAGUGGCGAAGGCGGCUUGCCAGAACGCGCUCGACGGUGAGGGAUGAAAGCUGGGGGAGCAAACCGGAUUAGAUACCCGGGUAGUCCCAGCUGUAAACGAUGCAGACUCGGUGAUGAGUUGGCUUCUUGCCAACUCAGUGCCGCAGGGAAGCCGUUAAGUUUGCCGCCUGGGGAGUACGGUCGCAAGACUGAAACUUAAAGGAAUUGGCGGGGGAGCA
rnacentral:rRNA from 1 species